GACAGAGGGGGCAAGCGUUGCUCGGAAUGACUGGGCGUAAAGGGCGCGUAGGCGGUUUGGACAGUCAGAUGUGAAAUUCCUGGGCUCAACCUGGGGGCUGCAUUUGAUACGUUCGGACUAGAGUGGGGAAGAGGGUCGUGGAAUUCCCAGUGUAGAGGUGAAAUUCGUAGAUAUUGGGAAGAACACCGGUGGCGAAGGCGGCGACCUGGUCCUUGACUGACGCUGAGGAGCGAAAGCGUGGGGAGCGAACAGG
rnacentral:rRNA from 1 species